rnacentral:lncRNA from 1 species
GAGCAGCCUGCAGGCAUGGGCUGAGUCAGCUGUCGUGGGUGCUGUCUUCUCUCACUUCUCUUGCAGCAUUCCUCUGCUUGCCCUGUCCUCUGGGACGCACAGAGUAGCCCAGGGAGAACAGUGACCUCACUGGCUCUCUCUGGUGAUUUGAAAUUACCCGAGUCUGUUUGAGGACCCUCCACUUUGGUGGGUGCUUUCGCUCUGUGACUUAGGAUUUCUGUGCCAGCUGCAGGGUUUCCCAGGUUGGUCCCUCUGCAGGUCAGGGCCUGGUCUGGCGUUCCUUGAUCAAGCCCUCGGUGGCUCCCCAGUGCCCAGUCCAUACCCACCUUCUUCAGCCUGAUUUUUUUCCAGUUCCCUUCCUCACUCCCAGCCAUGCUGUCCAGGCUUUGAUCGGACAGGCUCAUUGCCUAGGCUUGCCUUGGCUUCCUGAUCAGCUUACAUAAAAUUGGCAUCACUUCUCCUUUUCUUGUUAACUUUGCUUUGUGUUUCUUCUUACUACUUAACACCAUUUGUCAUUUAUAUACUUUGUUUAUUCUGUCUCUUACCAUUCUAACUUAAAGACUUUGUUGACAUCUGUAUCCCUAGCCGCUAGAACAGUGCCUGGCACCUCAUAGACCCUCAAUGCUACUACUUGGGGUGAAUGAAUGAAUGAAUAAAUGAAACCCCAAGAGAAGCCCCAUUCUUCGUUCCGGAAAAGGUUGGUACCCAGCUCUCCGUUUCCUGAGACCUAGCACUGGAACUGAGUCACCACUGGAUCCCUCCUAGGACCUAGAACAGAACCUUGCAUGCAGUGGUCAGGCAGGAGAGAGCUGUGGCCUCGUAGGGGGUGGGUCAGAUUUCAUGUAGGUCAGAAGAGAACAUGGCUGGGAACGCAGUCCAGCCCAGGGAGUGGGUGUCUGAUUCUUCACGGAACUCCCUUUUGGAUUUUCUGUUGUUUGGAUAGGCUGCGGUUGGGCUGUCCCUGCCAUCAGCCUGGGUUACGGAUGUGCUGGGAAUGAGGCCUCUUCUUGCCCAGGUUCCCUUCCUCCUCCAUCUGGAUGUUUCUAAACUUGUCUUUUACCUUAUGUCAGACCCAGCGUCUCCAGGCUCCCAGCCGCUCUGCCUGUCCCUGUUUGCCAGGCUUCCCUUCCUGGAGCCUUCCCCCUCCUGGUUCUCCCUGCCUAUGCCCUGGCCUGGCUGAGGAAGGUGCCCUGGUUUUCUAAGGAGAAAGGCAGCAGGAGGUAGGAAGGAGCACGGGCCUUGCAGUAACCAGAGCUGGAUCUGAUCCUGGCCUCCCCACUAAUCCCUAGGGCCUUGGUUGAGUCACUGGCCUUGGACGUCUUUCUCAGCAUCUGUAGUAUGUGCAUUAUAGCUCUCGCUGAGGCAGUUUUGAGGCACAGAUGAGGUCCAGCAUUGAACUGAGUUGAAGUAACAUUACUCACAGUCAGAGCUUCCUGGAGUGCCCGGGAUCUCAGGCUUGCUGUGGCUUCUCCUGUUUUACUGGGAGUUUGAAGAGUCAGCUUUGCUAGUUUCAAGUACAAUCUAGGAAGAGAAUGUAGUGCUUCCUAAACUCUAAAGUGCUGUUCUAAUGGAAGGCAUAUGGAAGUUCCUGGAUUGAAUCCAAGCUGUGCCUGCAGCAACACCAGAUCCUUUAAUCCACUUCACCGGGCCUGGGUUCAAACCCAUAGCUCUGAAGGGAUCUCAGUUGCUUCAGUUAAGUUCUUAACCCACUGUGCCAUAGUGGGAACUCCUAUGUGUGCUGUUUUAAAUAAUUUCCCAGCAAGCCCAAGAAGCAGGUCUUCACUUGGCAGAGAGGAAGCCAAGGACCAGGCAGUUGCUGUUUCAGGACUGGGAUUGGUUGGCGAGCCAGAGGGGCCCAUGACCCCCCUCCCCCAUCUCCUCUGUCCUCUUUUCUCCCCCACAUCCCACUGGCACCCAUUUUGCAUCAGAUCAAUUUUUAAACUGGGUGGGCAUAACUAGGACUUAUGAUCACUUAUGUUAUAUGUAGAGGGCUUAAUUUUCAACUUAUGCCUAGAAAAUCUGAUGGUGGUGACCAGUGGACUUGAGCUCUGGUUGGUGGUUGGAGAGUAAUGGACACAUCACCGGGGACCCAGGUCCCUUCAGGGGACAGCAAGCGCUCUUGGGAACUUGCCAACCAGGACCACAGCUAACGUUGGUGGCGGUUUUGUGAGGUGUUUUCCUUUUGCACUUGAAGCUACCAUGGAUUUUUCAUGGAUUUCCCUUGUGGCUCAUCGUAUUCACUGCCAUGGCCCAGUUCACUGUUGCAGUGCUGGUUCCAUCCCUGGCCGGUGUGCCUCAGGUGAGGCCAAAAGAAAAGUAUGGAUUCUUUGCACUUCCUAUCCCUGGAAUAAAGUGUACUAAGAGAUGCUGGGCUCUGAAAUGUUCAAGCACUUGUUCUGAACAAAUUUUAAUUAGCAAGUAGUCAAUGAGUAGGAGAACAAUAUUGGCAUUUAGAAUUUUCAGUUGAGGAGGUCCCAUUGUGGCCCAGCGGGUUAAGAACCCAGCUAGUAUCCACGAAGAUGAGGGUUUGAUCUCUGGCCUCGGUUCAGUGGGUUAAAGGAUCAGGCACUGCCACGAGCUGUGGUGUAGGUCGCAGACUCAGCUCCAAUCUGGUGUUGCUGUGACUGUGACAUAGGCCGAUAACUGCACCUCCGAUUCAACCCUAGGCCAGAAAUUUCUGUAUGCCAUAGGAGCGGCC